CCGAUUCUGUGUCUCCCUCUCUCUCUGCCCCUCCCCCGUUCAUGCUCUGUCUCUCUCUCUGUCCCAAAAAUAAAUAAACAUUGAAAAAAAAUAAAAAAAAAAAAAGACUUUGUGAAAGCAACGCAUGCAUUUUCUAAAGGUUCCUAUGGGUGUGUAUAUGGAUACAUCAUUAUCUUGUUGAAAGCAGGGUUAAAGACAAGCAGCUUAUCAAGCUACAAGUCCGCAUGGUGUUUGGUCACAAGUGGGUGGACAAACAUUGAAGGACUUAUCUUAUUAGACUGUCCAGGCGUAAACCUCUCCACCAUGGGAUUCAUCCCCUGUCCACUUACAUGGGUGGCCGUCUUCUCAAUACUCCGAGAGGAAAGUUGUCUUUAAUUCGCUGACACCUGCCAAGCAAAUGCGACUAUGUAAUGUUUAAUUCAUUGUUAUGGUCAGAAAUUAAAUUGGGGUUUUUUUCAGGGCAAACCAUUCCACACCAUGCGUCUGCGGGCUCAGUUUUCUUUAUUUGCUGGAAUGACUGCGGAAAAUUUUGCUCAUUAUGUCUUUUGAGUCUUUCUCUUUCUUCCAGGUUUUCUAGAUGUGUUACUGCAUUGCGUUUCCUGAGCUUUCCUGGUUAUCAAUUAAAUAUUCGUUUCUUUUCUUUUCUUCUGCUCAGAACGUCAUAUUCUCAGCUUUUUCCAAUUGCAAAGCAAAUUCAUAUGAGAUGUCAGCUAUUGACAAGGGUCAAAGGGGAAGGUCUUGGAUGAUGGAGAAGGAUUUUCAAGAGAGCGUGAAGGCUGAAAACCACUCCAUGAAAGGGUCAUGGAUGGAAUCUACACUUUUGCCAGAUUCUUUUUGAGAAUUCCAGGUUGUUCAAAAUAAGGGAUGGGUAGAGCCAAGCACAUUCAUCUAUGUAUCUACAUUAAUGCAUUCCUUCCAGAUGUCUUAAAACAGCAGCUAUCAGAGAAAUAGACCCAUAUUUCUAGUGUGUGGGGGCGGAGAAUGGGUGCUCUAUUGUCUAUCCCUGUAUUUCAGUACAAAUAUGUGAUUUAAAGAUAGUUAAGAUGAAUUGAAUUUGCUCUCAAAAGAUAAUUCUGCGUUGUGAUGUUUAUAUUGUGAAACCAACCAUCCGUGUGGGGUUUUUGUUUGUUUUGUUUUUCUAUUGGGAACUUGAAUGUAACAAACCCCAAUAUUGUCUAUAAAGAGACCUAAAGUUGCA